UCAGAAAAGUUAGACUGAAUAUGCACUGGUAAUGUGUUGUCGAGGUUUACGGACCAACCGGGGAAAUUCAGCGUCUGUUCGUACCUUUACCACCUGAAUGAUUGACCAGGCACUCCGUUAGGUGAUCCAGGCAUGCGACCAGUGUACAACACGACUACAUUGUUUUUUUUUCCUUCUCAACAACCAGUCGACCUGUUGGCCGGUCUUGGUGAUGGAUCAGGUUACGCAACACUAAGAUUAAGUGAGACAAGCCUUUGGACGAUAAUUGGAAUAAACUCUUUGAUUUGGUCCCGCCGCUGGAAGCCUCAACAAAAGUGGCAUGGGACUACUCAAACGAUACAAUAGAGCUGAAAGCUGGGCGAGUUUAUACUGAUUCAUUGUUGAACUGUGGCGCGCACAAUAGACGAAGGACACAUCGCUUGUUUGUUUCUUCUGCGUGUAUCCGUCAUCUUUUGUGCGCUCUACAACACAACAAUGAAACGAAGGAAACGCUUAAGUGCAACAGAAAGAAAGGCGAUAUCUGACGCAGCAAUGACAAAAACGGUAACUGCGACAGCAACGAUAACAGCCCGACGACAGCUGCAACACAGUGACUACGACGGUGCGGCGAAGGCAAGACAGAGUACAUGUCGCGAACCCGGCCUUGCGUCUUAUGGUGUUCUGGCUGGAGAGAGGUAUCGUGUUUUGUCUUCAGGAGAUUGCGUUUGCCCAGAAAACGUGAUAAAAGCUAUGAUUAUGAUACCCACAGCAAGCGCCACGAAAAUGAGCUCAAAUGCCUCUAAAAAGCUUUCUCUGUAAAACAUUGUUUUUCGCAUAAGUAUCAAGUGGACACGAGCUUUCGCUGCGUUGCCAUGUGGUACGUAUACUUGCGGCGAAGAUCUUGGACAGCAAACAAAGCAAACUCUGGAAGACACUAUACAACGGAAGUUUUCGCUCGCAUGAAAGGUGGCACGUUUGGUUCACUGAGUAGUGAAGAACAGAGCGAACUGUAAAAAAAAAAAAAAAAAUAGAACCGUAGUCGAUAGUGAUUUGAUUGGCUAGAAGCUAUUAGGUCGCUGAACGACAUGAUUAGUAUGUAAUAUAAUCUUCCUGCUGUAUUAUCUGGUUCACCGUAACAUGGUUCUGUAUGGGUUUUCUACUUGUAACAAAACCAUAAAGGGAAUGCUGCCACAGUCGUUCAUAACGUAUGCAUGCAGACCGCUCCCGCAAACAGAUUCAGCCAGCACUUCAAAGCUGUCUCAGGAACUGCGCUCAAAAUUCUGACGUCACUUCCUGGCAUUCGACAGUUCGCGGCAGCCGCCGACGCGGAGCAAUUCAGUCUCAUUUCGCUUCGUACGUGUUCGUUUUCAAAAUCGUUUCCCAUCGCCGCUUUUCCAGCGUGUAACUGACGCUUGCUGUGAACCGUCAAGCGUCCGAUGCCGAACGAGUGUUUCGUCACAGACUGCUCUGAAUACUUUCUCACGGGGAAGAAGCUGCGGGUAUUUCCAUGUUCCAAAGGACAGGUGCAAUCGGAACAAGUAGAUUUGACCUCGGAAGAACUUUGUAUCGGCGUUGUACACGAAGUUGCUUGCCCAGGAACCAUGACAGAGGAUCUACUGGAGGAUUGGGAAGGCCAUUUCAGUCUAUAAUCAGGCUCCCUCAGCGCACUGUAUAUCAUCAGCACCGUGCUGGGCCAGUUUGACUUGAAGAUCGCGCGCCAGUUCUGAUCGUUUUCAACCCCACGGUGUUUCUCAGGGGGUGAGUUUUUCUCUCUCUUUUUUUUUUUACUUUCUUUCUUAACAUCCGUUCAGUGACCCAUUCGACUGGACUUGACCAAAACAUCGCUGGCAUAAAUGAAACCUCAUUAUCGCGUUAACGACGUGAUUCAUCAAACAGCACGCUCCAGUGACGAGAGCAGGCACGAUUUGUCCACGCUCCUUUUUUCCAUUAUUUCCUCACGCAGCGCGCACAGCUUCCUCUAUCGUUUUUUGUCCCCCACUCAUUAAGCUCUCCACUGGCCUGCUUUCAUUCUGCGUAUUCCAGCUGCAGAAUUUCUCCCGAGUGGUUUUUUUAUUGUACUUUUCACUUUCUUCUCGUUUCGACUGGCUUAUGUGGUACCUCGCGUGUUGGAACGCCCCAUAGACCAGCUUCACGCUGAGCCGGAGCGGGCCGUAAGUAGCAUCGGGAACGCUCUGUUUAGUCGUUCGUCACCAGCU